AUUGAACGCUGGCGGCAGGCCUAACACAUGCAAGUCGAGCGAGCGGCGGGCGGGUGAGGACUGUCUGGGAAACUGCCUGAGGGGGGGAGCGAACUGAUGGGAACGGUAGCUCAUACCGCAUACCAUCAAGUCUGCCCAGAGGGGAUUAGCUGGUGGGUGGGGUACCGGCUCACCUAGGCGACGAUCCCUAGCUGGUCUGAGAGGAUGACCAGCCACACUGGAACUGAGACACGGUCCAGACUCCUACGGGAGGCAGCAGUGGGGAAUAUUGGACAAUGGGCGCAAGCCUGAUGCAGCCAUGCCGCGUGUGUGAAGAAGGCCUUCGGGUUGUAAAGCACUUUCAGCGGGGAGGCGUUACCAGCAGAAGAAGCACCGGCUAACUCCGUGCCAGCAGCCGCGGUAAUAC
rnacentral:rRNA from 1 species